CAAAACGUAGCUUAAUAAAGCCCCUCGCUUACACCGAGGAGUUAUCUGUUCAACCCGGAUCGUUUUGU
rnacentral:tRNA from 1 species